UACAGAGGUCUCAAGCGUUGUUCGGAUUCAUUGGGCGUAAAGGGUGCGUAGGCGGCGUGGUAAGUCGGGUGUGAAAUCUCGGAGCUUAACUCCGAAACUGCAUUCGAUACUGCCGUGCUUGAGGACUGGAGAGGAGACUGGAAUUUACGGUGUAGCGGUGAAAUGCGUAGAUAUCGGGAGGAACACCUGUGGCGAAAGCGGCGCACUGGACCAUAACUGACGCUGAGGCGCGAAAGCUAGGGGAGCAAACAGG
rnacentral:rRNA from 1 species